ACGACCGCCUCCAUCUCAUCCUAACUCCUAGGCCCUUCUCCGCCUCAUGUGAGUUCCUUCUAUCUGAUAUUUUAAUCUCUUCUAUUUUCAACAACAACCUUUCCACUAUUACUGCUACGCACCUAAACUACCCUCUCAUUCCUAACAAAGGACGCUGUUUUGGGGGAGUUUCCUCCCGUGACGGCAUCUUCUGUUUUGCGAUUAAUGAAUUGUCAGCUCUUUUAUUUAACCCUUCCAUUAGAAAGUUUAAGUUAUUGCCUCCUUUGAAAAACCCACCACUAAAUCACUAUUUACAAACCAUUUAUACCUUAGUGUAUCAUCGUUUCACUGAUAAUUAUAAGAUUGUCGCUGUUUCUUCGGAUAUUGGUAGACAAAUUAAUGUUAAUACUCAUACUUUCGGUACUGAUCAUUGGACAAAGAUCCAAAACAUCCCGAAUUGUUGCCGCUUAUGUGGAAUGGGAAUAUCUGUGAAUGACACCGUUAAUUGGUUGGUAUACGAUAGUUCUUGUUCUCUAUGGGUCAUUCUUUCGCUUGAUUUGGAGGAUUAUUCGUAUAGAAAGUUUUUGCAUCCUCUCUCUAACGAGCGAUCCAACUCUAAGAUGAUCUUCCAAGAGUUAAAGGGUUGCUUGUGCAUCCUCUCUCAAUGUGCCAACUAUGCUGAUGUUUGGAUUAUGAAGGAACAUGGAAAUGAGCAAUCUUGGACUAAAUUAUUAAGUGUUCCGUACAUGACAGAUGCUAGGUCUUUUGCGUAUAGCAGAGCAAUAUAUGUUUCGGAAGAUGACCAAGUGUUGAUGAGGUUUUUUAAGUCGAGGAAAUUUGGUUUGAUCAUCUAUGAUUUUAAAAAUGAUACUUUUAAGAUUCCUACAAUUCAAAACAUCAAUGAUCAGAUGAGACCAACCAUCUAUGUUGAGAGUUUGAUAUCACCUUUUUCUCAAUAUUAAGAUGUAGUUGUUGUGCUAAGUUAUCUUGCGCUAGACCCAACUCCAACAUAUAUGUUAAUUUAUGAUGAUCUUGUUAUUUAUAUUUAUUUUUUCCUUGUUUUGUAACCGGUGAUUUCAUGGUUAUUAUUGAUGUAUGGGUCAACUUGAGAAAUUGCUAUGUUAUUUUUUUCCUGUCAGAGUUGUUGGUUCUGUCAUCGUUCAUUACAUCUUAUAUCAUUUACAAUCACGGAUUAUUCAUUUUAUGAAUUGAACGAGUUUGGAUUCACUCCGUUUACUACCCUCCUUUUAUCCUCUAUUUAGGAGAGAGAUAGACACAAUAGAAGAUUUGUGGAACCCACUCAUUAGUGGGACCCACUUUUAAUGAGUCCCACAAAUCUUCUAUUGUGUCUAUCUAUAUCCUAAAUGGAGGAUAAAUUGAGGGUAGUAAAUGGAGUGAAUCUAAACUCGAAUUGAACAAAUCAAACUUUAUCAUGCACGUGUUCUUAAUGAAAGUUGGGAUAUCUUUGAGAGACAAUGAGGUGGUCACAAUGAAUAUUUAGAAAUUAUAAAUUUAAUGUUUGGUGCACCAAAGUUAAAGAUUACUGUCAUAUAGAAAUGAUACGUAGUCCAUUUUCUGGGGUAUUGUAAGUUAAUAUUUUGCACUUGUCACUUGUAAAUAGCAAAGACUUGAAGAUAGAAAACACUUCUCAGAUAAAGGAGGUUAGCUUCUGGAUCUUUUGUAUUCUGAAUAUGGUGUUCCACAUAAUCGCAGGUGACACCCUCCAAUUCUGUUCCCAACAUUUGUCAAGGUUAUUAUCCCUAUAGUGGGAUUAACCAGAGCACAAGAGGCAGUGGAGGAGGUUGUGUUGCGUUGAGGUCAUAUUUUCAGCAGUGUUGUUUAUGGAAUGCCAUAUUUUAAUGAAUUGUUAAAAUAUAAAAAAGGACAUGUUAUUUAGACUACCUGUAUAGCAAUUUGGCUGGAUUUUGGAAUUGGAAUGUCAUAGUGGGAGUGUUGAACGAAGUGGACGAGCAGUAAGUUCACAUACUUAACGGCAAUUGAUGUGGAGGAGGAGGAUAUGCUCGUAUGGAAACUCAACAACAAAUGCAUCUACACCGUGAAAUCGGCGUAUUGGCGUGCAGUGGAGUCUGGACAAUGAAAAAAUAGAGUUCGAAGUGAUUGGAUGCACAUGUAAAAAUUGAAAAUCCCAGAGUACAUUUUUAGUUGGAGAGGUUUGAGGCGAUGCUUACCUAUGCGAGUUAGACUAAAAGGUAAGGAGUAGGUUGUUCGGAUAUUUGUCUUCACUAUCAAAACAACCUUAAAAACAAAUGACAUUUAUUUUUUUAUUGCUUAAAUAUACGAUUUGUUAUGUAAGUUUGCGCUUUUUUGGUUUUCAUCCCUGUGUCUUCUGGUUAAUAGUCCUUUUAGAAUAGGCAAAAUAAUUGUGAAUUAGCACACCCCCCUCCCCCCCAAUAGAUUAUGGAAUGUACUUUAUCAAUUGGUUGUCCGACGAGUUAAAAACGGCUAGUUCGAAAUCCUUUAUUUUUUGGACCAAUCGCUCUUUUGAUUUUGGAAAAAAAAAAUCUUUAUCAAUGGAGAUUGAGUUCCACGAAUAUGCAAGCUAGAAAGAUGCUAUUUGCUGCUCUUAGUUAAUUUAACACUUUUGACGCAUCUUUCUACCUUUCCUUGAUUUUUCUAUGUGGCUUAAUGGUGGGUAAACCAAGCCCAAAACAUUUUCUUCCUCACACAGGCUCAAGAUUCCUCAGCAGAGAGCAAAGCUACCAACCCAGUUAAUUAAAAGAAACAGAGAUCCCUAAUGGUUUACAUAUAGGUAUAAGAAGUUAAUUAAGUAUUGGUGUGAAAGAGUACCAACAAAUUACUAAUGGUUUAGAGACGGGUAUAAGAAGUUUCUAAGAACUUUUGUACCCAACAAACCCUUUAAUGGUAUGGUCUGUUUGCAGCAUUACCUUCUGUCAGUUGCAUAGAAUUAUUGUGUGCAUUAUUUCUUUCGAUGAUCUACAUUAGUUCUCAAUUUCUCCCUCACAUACUUCUAGUCCUUUUGCAUGUAAGUGAAUAAAGAUCUCAUAAAGUUAUCUCACAUACUUCCAUGAGUUUUUUAAGGAUUUAAUUUGUAUAUCUUUUGUCUAUUUAUUUGUUAUAUUUUUUUGGAUUGGCAUGAUAUAUGUAUGCAGUUUUCAUUGUCGUUACAUUGACUAAUUUUCAUCAAGGAACAUAUCCCUACUGAAAAUUUUCUAUACGCAUAAGUCAUGACCACCUGCUUAAGGAUCCAAAAACCUUAUCACAAGGACCAAUUCAUAAUAUAAUUUUUUGUAUUUUUAUAUUGCGGAAUUUGGAGGGAUAUAUUUUUACGGAGAAACAACUUUCUUGAGAAAUAGUGUUAUAUGAAUAAUGCUCUCAAAUUCUUAUUUUAUUCAUCAUAUAUAUAUAUAAAGCUACAAAAAUCUAUGAAGCAUGGACACCUCUAUGAUUAGACGUGUCGUGGUGUCUGACACUCGUACAACACGUGUCAGAUAGCUCAGAUCGGUGUCAAAAAAAAUUAAUUUUUCCUUUAGUUUGACACUCCUUUGAUCGGUGUGUGACACCUGUAAGACACCCGUACAACACAUGUCGGACAAGCGUCCCCAAAAAAAAAUUGUUUUUUGUUUCUUAUACUCUACUUAGGCACAUAUUAGAUGAAAUUCUGACGUAGUCCAAAUGGGGUACCAGAUGUUACCACAUCGCGUACCACAUCUCGUACCAGUACAGAACAAGAAAAAACAAGGUAGAAAUAAAUUGCAAAGAAAGUAAAUGACACAGUAUGUUGUUAACCCAGUUCGGAGGAACCUCUCCUACUCUGGGGGAUACCAAUCCAGGAAUGAAUUAACUACUAUAGUUCUAGUUCAAAUACUCCAAAACACCCCGUUUCUAUCUUAUCGCCUAGACAAGACCUCAUGCAAUUCUACCUAGGAACUCCUAGAUAUGAGAUGUCCCGUCUCACUUCCUUCAAACAACACAGACAACAUUGCUUACAGACGAUUACAAUCAAAUGGUGGAGACACACUCCUAGACAUAAAUAAACUUUACUCAUGCUUAAAAGCUCUUGAGUAAAUCACAAACAACACCUCCAUACCUAAGGGCUUAGGCGGCAACAGAGAGGUGUACAUGAAACCCUAAAGCACAAGGCUUACAAAGACACAAAAUCCUAAAAGACUACAUCUUUUAUAUAUUUGUUUAAGCUUCGGUUUUGGUAAAUAAAAUACCUUUAGCAACUUUCUUUAUAUAGGCUUCACAAUACUUCAGCUCCAAGAAAUCUUCUAAAGGAAAAAUAUAUACUUUUACUAAAUCUUCUUUGCAUCAAAAUAUUCCUUUCAUAAAUAUAUUUGUUGAAAAUGUAUUUUAAAAUUAAAUCUUCUAACUUUCUUGAAGCACAAACAUUUAUUUGAAAUAAAUCUUUUAUAUUCUCUGCAACAAUCUUCACAAGAUAUAUUUUAAAAUCAAAUCUUCUUGAUUCCUUAAUAUUUUAUAAUAGUCUUGAGAACCUAGUAACCUAAUACAUCCGCCUUCUGAAGAUUAAUAAACCACGUGCAUAUUCUUUUCUUCUGAAACAAAUCUUACAGAGAUUUGAUAUAAAAAUUCAGCGCAUAUCCGUAGCAAUAAUGUUGUACUCCAAAUGCUGCCACAUCUGACCCUACAUCUGACUAGAUCUUGUUUUUGCAAAAUGUAGCCAAUUAAAAACCCAACAUUAGAUAUAUCUAAAAAAGUUAAAUAUGUGUCGAAACAACAUUAUUGAUCAAAGAGGGAUUGAAAAUAUUACAAUAUUUCUAGGUUUUUUGUAGAGUAGAUGGAUAAAUAAAGGUAAAUACUACCGUAUCUUGUUUUAAAACUUUUUUUAAGAAAUAACUUCUUCAACUUAGAUUUACACGUAUAUGUUUUGAUUUUCAAUUUAUAUCUUUUUAUAGAAAUGUAGCGGUGUCAUUUUCCUAUAUUUUUUACAUUAACGGUGUCCUAGUGUCCGUGUCGUGUUGGUGUUGCGAUGUCCGUGUCAGAAUCCGUGCUUCAUAAACAAAAAUAACAAACUUAUAAAUCAUAUAUUUAAAAUUAAAAAACUAAUCCUAAAAUUUCUAAAAAAUCAUCAAUAAUAAAUUCUAAUAUUAUUGUUACAAAUAAAAUUCGAGAGCUAAAGAUAGAGAAGAUAAGAGUUUUGUGUUCAACUCUUCACAUGUGUGUCGUUACACUAAACCAAGGGUCAUGUUUAUAGGACACAAAUAAGCAAGUCAAUGAUGAGAAAUAUUUAAGGAUCACUCACCAACUUAAUUAUUCAUAACACACCUCUUUACAUGUUCGUCGAGGAUAUACCUCAUUAAAACCUUACUAUAAAACUCCAAUGGAAAAAAAUGAAGGAUAAAGAGUACAACGUCAUUUGCGUUUGAACUGCCUCGUUAAAAAUCUUGUCAGAAAAAUCCAAUGAGACAAAACCACGGCGAAGGAAAAAAGAGUGCAAAACACAUUUAUACCUCUCCCUCAUAAAGUCAAUUAUAUCUGAGACGAAGGAUACCAAUUCAUCUUCUAUAUAGUUUAUCAAAAGAAUUACUUGACAACGACUUUGUAGAAAGAUAAUAAUCUAUAUAGUUGAUGAGAAAUUUUACUUGACGGUGACUUUGUAGAAAUGUUUGUUUUAUCUUCUUUAAUAUACUCUUAUCUGAAUUAGUCGUUGAUAUGAUAUUAUCUCCUUCAAGUUUCUUGUAUGCGUAAAAUCACAAACUUCAACAAAAUUAUAUUCUCAACUUUCUUGAUGUAGUCCUAAAACUUUCACAUAAUUAGAGAAUAUUAUUGUAUCUCUAAGAUAUAAGAUAUAGUACAAAUUAUAUGCUUGACUUUCUUUCAAUAUAUUUGAUUUAUUGAUAUUGACAAAAAUAAAAUAAUAUGACAUAUAUAAUAAGCAAAAAACCUGUUGUGUAAUUAUCUUUCAAUAUAUAUGAAAUUAUCUUUGUUCACAUCAAGUGACAUCACAAUUAUUCUAGUUUUAGUACACAACAUAUUGUAUGCGUUCUUAUAAAAUUGUUUUAGUUUCUUAAUGCAUAAAACCUUGUUAUUUUUGUUAAGAUAUUAAGUUUGGAAUUUCAAACAAACUUUGACCAUUCAACAUAUAAUAUGAUAAACUUUUUUUUUUAAUCAACAAAUUUGAGAAACUAUUUAGAAUUUCUGAUCAAAUUUAUAUUAUCAUCAUAAAAAUCAAUUAUAACAUUUUUUUUCUUUAAAAAUAGACAUGUUGCCAUCAUUUUCAUAUUCCUCAUUCGUGAAUAUUCACUAAAAAUAUUAUAUACAUGCAUCUUGUUACACAUUAAAAAUAAAUCUAAACUAUAUUUAAAUAUAACAUCACAAUAAGUUAUGAAACAAGUUUAAUUUUUUAUUGAUUCAAAAAAAAAGUUUAAUUUUUUAUAAAAUUUAACAAAUAUGUGACCUAUGUGAUAUAAAAUUUAAAUUCAACUGUUGUUAAAUUCAUAUUAUUAAAACUUAUUUUACGGUGUAAUGAGUACUACUACAAGUACAAAAUCCAAGAGUGGAUUUUGUAAUAUAUAUAUUCGUACAUCAAACUAAACUUCCGCGAUCUAAAGUCUAAACCACGUUCGUGUUGUCCUUUUGGAUUCAGAGUAAUGAUGACGGCAGUUAGCAAAGGCGAUGGCGAAAACAACGGCGUUUCUUACCAGUCACCGACGGAGGAAACGCUAACACAAAUCUCUUCCUCAUCCACAACUCCAGACAAUUCAAUUGACGCGCCGUCACUUCCGUUCGAUCUUGUUACAGAAAUUCUAUGUUGGAUCCCUGUGAAAUUCCUCCUCCAAUUCUGUUGCGUCUGCAAGUCAUGGAAUUAUCUCAUCUCUCAUGAUUCCGAAUUUCAAAAGAAGCACUUUCGCUUGUCAACCACAAUUCACGACCGCCUCCACCUCAUCCUAACUCCUAGACCCUCCGCCUCACGUGAGUUCCUUCUAUCUGAUAUUUUAAUCUCUUCUAUUUUCAACAACAACCUUUCCACUAUUACUGCUACGCCCCUAAACUACCCUCUGACUCCUAAUAGAGGACGCAGUUUUGGGGGAGUUUCCUACCGUCACGGCAUCUUCUGUUUUGGGAUUGAUGAAUCGUCAGCUCUUUUAUUUAACCCUUCCAUUAGAAAGUUUAAGUUAUUGCCUCCUUUGGAAAACCCACCACUAAAUCACUAUUUACAAACCAAUUAUACCCUAGUGUAUCAUCGUUUCACCGAUAACUAUAAGAUUGUCGCUGUUUCUUUGGAUAUUAAUAGACAAAUUAACAUUAAUACCCAUACUUUCGGUACUAAUUAUUGGACAAAGAUCCAAAACAUCCCGUAUUGUUGCCGCUUACGUGGAGUGGGAAUAUCUGUGAGUGACACCGUUAAUUGGUUGGUAUAUGAUGUUUCUGGUUCUAGUAGUUCUUUAUGGGUCAUUCUGUCGCUUGAUUUGGAGGAGUAUUCCUAUAGAAAGUUUUUGCAACCUCUCUCUAACGAGCGAUCCGACUCUAAGAUGGUCUUCCAAGAGUUGAAGGGUUGCUUGUGCAUCCUCUCUAACGAUGCCAACCAUUCUGAUGUUUGGAUUAUGAAAGAACAUGGAAAUGAGCAAUCUUGGACUAAAUUAUUAAGUGUUCCGUACAUGGCAGAUGAUAGGUCUUUUUUGUAUAGCAGUACAAUAUAUGUUUCGGAAGAUGACCAAGUGUUGAUGAGGCUUUUGAAGUUGAGGAAGUUUGGUUUUAUCAUCUAUGAUUUUAAAAAUAAUACUUUUAAGAUUCCUAAAAUUCAAAACAUCAAUGAUCAGAUGAGACCAACUAUCUAUGUUGAGAGUUUGAUAUCACUUUUUUCUCAAUAUUAAGAUGUAGUUGUUGUGCUAAGUUAUCUUUAGCUAGACCCAACUCCAAUGUAUAUGUUAAUUUAUGAUGAUCUUGUUAUUUAUAUUUAUUUUAUCCUUGUAUUGUAUACUGGUGAUUUCAUGG
rnacentral:lncRNA from 1 species